rnacentral:rRNA from 1 species
UACGAAGGGGGCUAGCGUUGUUCGGAAUCACUGGGCGUAAAGGGUGCGCAGGCGGGGUCUCAAGUCAGAGGUGAAAGCCCGAGGCUCAACCUCGGAACUGCCUUUGAUACUGUGGAUCUUGAAUCUGGAAGAGGUGAGUGGAACUGCGAGUGUAGAGGUGAAAUUCGUAGAUAUUCGCAAGAACACCGGUGGCGAAGGCGGCUCACUGGUCCGGAACUGACGCUGAGGCACGAAAGCGUGGGGAGCAAACAGG